AGUGAACGCUGGCGGUAGGCCUAACACAUGCAAGUCGAACGGCAGCACAGUAAGAGCUUGCUCUUACGGGUGGCGAGUGGCGGACGGGUGAGGAAUACAUCGUAAUCUACUUUUUCGUGGGGGAUAACGUAGGGAAACUUACGCUAAUACCGCAUACGACCUACGGGUGAAAGCAGGGGAUCUUCGGACCUUGCGCGAUUGAAUGAGCCGAUGUCGGAUUAGCUAGUUGGCGGGGUAAAGGCCCACCAAGGCGACGAUCCGUAGCUGGUCUGAGAGGAUGAUCGGCCACACUGGAACUGAGACACGGUCAAGACUCCUACGGGAGGCAGCAGUGGGGAAUAUUAGGCAAUGGGCGCAAGCCUGAUCCAGCCAUACCGCGUGGGUGACGAAGGCCUUCGGGUUGUAAAGCCCUUUUGUUGGGAAAGAAAAGCAGCAGGUUAAUACCCCGCUGUUCUGACGGUACCCAAAGAAUAAGCACCGGCUAACUUCGUG
rnacentral:rRNA from 1 species